UCCGUAGGUGAACCUUGCGGAGGGAUCAUUACAGAGUUACACARCUCACCAAACCAUUGUGAACCGACCCUUCUGUUGCUUCGGCGGGAGGCGCCUCGGCGCCCCUCGGCCGAUCCCCCGCCCCCGCGGCGUGGGGGGAGGCUCCCGCCGGAGGAAUACCCCAAACCCUUUGCAGCACAUGGCCUCUCUGAGUUUAUGUACUGAAUAAGUCAAAACUUUCAACAACGGAUCUCUUGGUUCUGGCAUCGAUGAAGAACGCAGCGAAAUGCGAUAAGUAAUGUGAAUUGCAGAAUUCAGUGAAUCAUCGAAUCUUUGAACGCACAUUGCGCCCGCCGGUAUUCCGGCGGGCAUGCCUGUUCGAGCGUCAUUUCAACCAUCAAGCCCUGGGCUUGUGUUGGGGACCUGCGGCUGCCGCAGGCCCUGAAAUGCAGUGGCGGGCUCGCAAGACACACCGAGCGUAGUAGCUUACAACCUCGCUUUGGGAGUGCUGCGGGUGCUGGCCGUAAAGCGACCUUUGCGUCUUUAGCACUAGGUUGACCUCGGAUCAGGUAGGAGGACCCGCUGAACUUAAGCAUAUCAAUAAGCGGAGGA
rnacentral:rRNA from 1 species